CAAAAAAUUUAAAUAUUUCAGAUUGCAUGUUUUGGGCAUUAUAAUUUGCAUUGAUACAGUCGGGUUCAAGAAAAGUACAAUAAUGUUAUAAGCUAGAGGGAUGGGAUCAAGAGAAAAGAUAUUUUGAGCAUAAUAGAAGGUACACUGCUAAAUGAGUGUCCUUAGAGAGACUACUUUCUUACUUAACAUGUAAUUGGCAAGAAGAAACUAAAGCUCUUCAUUACAAAAUAGAGAUAGAUGAUAAGCAAAUUGCUCUUCCUAGUAGCUGGGAUCAUGGAUAUUCCUCAUUUCCCAUGUCAUCUAUCAA